rnacentral:rRNA from 1 species
ACAACUUUCAACAAUGGAUCUCUUUGGUUCUCGCAUCGAUGAAGAACGCAGCGAAUUGCGAUAUGUAAUGUGAAUUGCAGAAUUCAGUGAAUCAUCGAAUCUUUGAACGCACCUUGCACCCUCUGGUAUUCCGGAGGGUAUGCCUGUUUGAGUGUCAUUA